CAGGAACUCAAACAAAAGAAGAAAGAAGAAG
rnacentral:sRNA from 1 species